AACUGAUACUACCUGCGGGAACCUGCGGAAGGAUCAUUGCUGGAACGCGCCCCAGGCGCACCCAGAAACCCUUUGUGAACUUAUACCUUACUGUUGCCUCGGCGCAUGCCGGCCCCCAGGGGCCCCUCGGAGACGAGGAGCAGGCACGCCGGCGGCCAACCUAACUCUUGUUUUUACACUGAAACUCUGAGAAAAAAAACAAAAUGAAUCAAAACUUUUAGCAAUGGAUCUCUAGAUCGG
rnacentral:misc_RNA from 1 species